rnacentral:rRNA from 1 species
AGUGAACGCUGGCGGUAGGCCUAACACAUGCAAGUCGAACGGCAGCACAGUAAGAGCUUGCUCUUACGGGUGGCGAGUGGCGGACGGGUGAGGAAUACAUCGGAAUCUACUUUUUCGUGGGUGAUAACGUAGGGAAACUUACGCUAAUACCGCAUACGACCUACGGGUGAAAGCAGGGGAUCUUCGGACCUUGCGCGAUUGAAUGCGCCGAUGUCGGAUUAGCUAGUUGGCGGGGUAAAGGCCCACCAAGGCGACGAUCCGUAGCUGGUCUGAGAGGAUGAUCAGCCACACUGGAACUGAGACACGGUCCAGACUCCUACGGGAGGCAGCAGUGGGGAAUAUUGGACAAUGGGCGCAAGCCUGAUCCAGCCAUACCGCGUGGGUGAAGAAGGCCUUCGGGUUGUAAAGCCCUUUUGUUGGGAAAGAAAAGCAGCAGGUUAAUACCCCGCUGUUCUGACGGUACCCAAAGAAUAAGCACCGGCUAACUUCGUG